CGGGGGCUGCGGUUGAGUGGCGAGGUACCCGCGUCUCUCUGGCAACCGAGUCCUCCGCUGCCAGGGCAGUAGAGUGAGGUGGAGGGAAGCCACGGGAAGCGGAAAGGGGACCCGGGGCUGCGCGCUCCCAGCUUCCACGGGCGCGCGCGUGCCUGCCUGCGUGUCAAAGACCCUUGGCCGCAGCUGCUGGAACUCUUGCCAAGUGCCUCUCUAGUGGUUUCCGAUUGACCUCUCCUGCAAACAAGCAGCGUGUCACUCUCAUCCAAAGCUGUCUAGCGACUUUAGGGAAGGAGUUCUUGUCUGUUCUGAGGAGGCCAGAUGUACAAUCCCAGAGAUUAAGUCUCCCAGUGGGUUCUAGAUAACUUGGUUGUUUAGGAGCCCAGGGGAUUGGUUGUGAAGGGCCACUCUUCAGAAAAUGUGUCUUCUAGUUCCUAAUCCUUUCCUGAGUGCCAAGCACUGUGCUUGGAAAAAGAUUCCUCCUCAGAAGACCUUUGUUAAGGGCUUCUGUUACCAGCCCUUUCAGGGCUAUGUAUAGAUUUAAGACUGACAUAGUGCUAGGAAAGCAGGAUAAGGAAUCAAGAAUGCUAUCUAGAGUUCUUAUUUGAGGUAGUAAAUAGAUGGAAACAUUGACCCAAGGAAAAUAUAAUAAAUGAGUUUGAUGCAUGAGAAUCGAGAUGUCCAUAUCAAGAGCCAAAUGUGGAUUCGGUUAGAUGUUUGAAAAUAGGAAUAACAGUGUUGGCAUGAAUUACCACUCCUAGAAAUUUUGACAUUGAUACACAGGCAACAGUUAAAACCAUGGUUAUGGAUGACUGAAUGGUAAUAGGUGUGCUAAAUAUUCUCUGUAUUCUCAGUCAUGGUAGACUGGCUUUUCUGUUUAGGCCUUGUGUUUGGGUCAGUCUGCACGACAUAUUCUGCCAAGUGAAUUGUGACUAGCUUUUAUAUGCCUUCGGAAACUUUCCAAAAUCCUUUUGCUCUUUGCCAUGUCACUUAUCAAUGUUCCAGAGACUGAGCUCUGCGACUUUUCAUCUUGGGAAGGAAGAUAGUGAAGAGUAAGAAUGCCAGUUAGUUCUUGAUGGAAAUAGUGAGAAGAAAAACCACUGACAUGUGAAAGUGAGAUUAUCAGGGCAGGUCUUCAUUACUUCUGACUGGUGUGAAGAAGGACAGGUCUGAGAAAUGAAAUUUGUUACUUAGACCCUUGUGAAGAGUCUGGAAGACUACCUCAUAUUACUUAAUAUUUAAUAAUAAUGAUAAUAAUAAUGAUGAUAAUAAUAAUAAUAAUAAUAAUAAUAAUAAUAAUAAUUGUGGUGGUGGUGAUGACGAUGAUGAAGCCCGGCAUCCUAUUUCCAUUUCUGUUCUCUGUCGUUUAUUCCCAUACCAACUCCAUGCGUAAGUCUCCAGUUCACAUUAUAGAAGACUAAAAUCCAAAUGCAGAGGCCUGAGUUCUGAGCCAGCUCUUGCGAUGCCAGUUCUCUGGAUGGGCCAGUCUUGGAUCAGGAGUUCAUCCCUAUUUACACAGCACAUGAUUAUCCAAGAUACCAUCUGCAUCCACUGGGCACAGUGCCUUGACCCACCGCAGUGUAAAUUGUAGUGGAACGUUUCCACGCUUGUGCCACUGUAAUUUAUUUUUCGUAGAAUUAUGAAGAUUACGUUUUACGAUGGGAAGCGAGGCAUGUCUUGAUUCCCACACAGUGGUCCAUCAUGAUCAGCCUAAAACCCUUAUGGGAAAAUAUUAACUCUUCCCCUGGCCUACAAAGGUGUUUAUGACCUCACCUCUGCUGCCACCCCUACCUCAUUGCCCUUGCCUCAUCACAUACUAGCACACUGGCAUCCCCUCUCUUGCAUGGGUGCUGCAGGCCUGUUUUCAGAAAGGACAUCCUGGACGACUCUCACCUGAAGGACAAGUCUGCCUGCCAAAGAGAUUUCCUUCACUGUCUGUCUCCCCACAACUAAAGACACUGUGAAAGCUGCCAUUUUGACUGUCCUAUGAGCCCCAAUAACCUAGCUUCCUAGAAUACCUGACAGACUUUGAAUUUUAGGUUAACCCCCCAAGUAUUGUGUUUCAUUAUGGAAUUUUAAUAAUCUUAUUGGCCCCCUCUCCCCGUGAUCCACUCUUAAUAGUCUCUUUCCCCCUUAAUAAUUCCCUUCUGCAUUAUUCAUGUAACAAUUUGUAUAUUCUGUAACCUCAUCUUUCACUCCUCCCUGCUUCCGUCAGACCUCUGACUUUCUAGUUCACACACACACACACACACACACACACACACACGUGCACACUCAUGGUUUUGCAUAUGUAAGUUCAAGCAGUAUUUGUCAAUGAGCCAGGCUCAGUUUACUUAACCUAACGUGAUUCAUCUUCAUUUCUGCAAUGUCAUAGGCUCAGUUUCCACUGGAGCUGAGGAAAAUUGCUUAUGCACAUGUAUCACAUAGGAAUCACACUUUCUGCAUCUAUUCAUGCUUUUAAAUAGGUGUGUACGGUGGCUCCAUUUCUUAGCAGCCAUGAACAUGAACAUGCGAGCAGCUCCGCAGUACGUUGCAGUGUCCUUCAGGUAGAUGUAUCUAGGAGUGGUAGAGUGGUAUAGGUUUCUUUGUUUAUAACGUAAGGAUUUUGGUUUGCUUGGUUGCUUUUUAUUUGUUUAUUUCUUUUUGAGAAACCUCCAUUCUGAUUUCCACACUGGCUGGCACAAUGUGGUAGCUUAACCACCAGCAGUGAAUAAGGCUUCCUCUUUCCCCCAUCCUCACCCAUAUUUGUUUUCUUGCUGAUUUCCAUUCUGACUGGAAUGAGACUCUCAGGAGUUUUAAGUUUGCACUUCAUGAAUAGCAAAGGUAUUUAUCGGUAACUUCUGCUUCUUCCUUAGAGAAUUGUUCAUUGGAGUCAUUAACUAGUUUAUUGAUUAGAAGAUUUAGAUUUGGGAGUAUUUAAUUUUUUCAGUUUUUUUACAUAUACUAGAAACUAACCCUUGUGUGGUACAUAGUUGGCAGUGAUAUUAUUUUCUUAUUGUGUAGGAAUUUUUUCAUCUAGAUAACUGUUUUCUUUGUAGAAAUUUUUACAUUGUGUGUUAUCUCAUUUAUCCGUUCUUAAAGUGUUUUCCUUGCUGUUUCAGUCCUUUCCAGAAAGUUCUUGCCUAUGCUUAUAUAUUCAGGUGUUUUUCCCUAGCAGUUUCAGAGCAUCUGAUCUCAUGUGAAGAUUGUUGAUCCAUUCAAAGUGAUUUUUCUGCAGUUUAAGAAAUAUGCAUCUAAUUUCACAUUCAGUCUUCUUGGCAACAUUUAUUCAAGAGGUUGUCAUUUUUUCAAUGUAUGUCCUUGGCACUUUGUUAAAACUUAUAUGGAUAUAGCUGUAUAUGUGUGUUUGGUUAUAAGUCCUCUAUUCUAUUUUUUUAUUUUACAUAUCUGGUGUGUGUGUGUGUGUGUGUGUGUGUGUGUGUGUGUGUGUGUGUGUGUGUAUUCUGUCAUGAAGUUUUACCCAUGCAAAACCUAGAUACAUGAUUCUAUAAAGAACUGAACUUCAAGGCAACUGAAAUAUGAAGCAAAGUUGGAUUUAUUAAAACUAGAAAGAUUCAGCUAGGUGUGUGUUGGCACAGGUCUUUAACCCUGUCACUCAGGAGGCAGAGGCAGGAAGAUCUCUGUUCAAGGCCAGCCUGGUUCACAGAGGGAGUUUCAGGAUAUCCAGGGUUACACAGAGAAACUUUUCUUGGUGACAGAGAGAGAGGGAGAGACAGAGAGAGGGAGAGGAAGAGGGAGAGGGAGAGAGAGAGAGAGAGAGAGAGAGAGAGAGAGAGAGAGAGAGAGGAGGAGGAAGAGGAGGAGGAAGAAGAGGAGGAGGAAGAGGAGAAGGAUGAAGAGGAGGGGGAGGAAAAAGAAUAGAAAGGUUCUCAAGAGAGAAAGAGGAAGCAUACUCAAUAGGACAAAUAUAAGCCUCUCUAAGAAAAAAAGACACAAUUAGGUUUUGUUACAAUGGGUGUAUAUGGGAUUUGACUGACUCUCACAUUAUAUCUUUAAAACUUGUUAAGAAAGACUCCUCCCAACACUUCUUUUUAAUAUUCCCCUAAGAGUAUAAUUUGUUAUAAGAUUAAAGGUUAAAGAAGUGUUCUUAGUAAGGCUUCAUUUCAUUCUAGGGAGUAGGUUGGGAAUAUAUCAUUAUACCUCAUGUUAGCCCUUAGUAAACCGAGCCUUAUUUACUAGUCUUGAUAUUCUUGAUUGAGGUGUCUCUAAGAAUGCGUUGUUUGGCCUUAAAUGAGAGCAAUUUAUUUACUUUCUUGGGAAAGAUGUCUUUUAGAAAACACAUUUUGUCUCUGUGGACCAUUAAGGUCCUUGUCAGUGAGUCUAAAAUCCUCUGCCUUUCUCAGCAGUAAAAUCAGAUGCGAUCUGGGGAGCAGUGCACCCCUCUUUCCUUUUACUCCAUGUUGUCAUACUUCCAUAAUUCUAUGCUGACUCAAAAACCUUAUGCUUUCUGUUGAGGCCAGCUUUGGUUAUUUGUGGUCUUUUGUGCUUCCCUGUGAUAUAAGAUUUUUUAUUCUCUAAGUCUAAUGAAGAACAUCACUGAAUUUUAAUAAUAGCAUUGAAUCUGUAAAUCAUUUUCAGUAUAGCCAUUUUCCAGAAAUUAAUUCUGCCAAACCACGAGAAUCCAAGCGACGAGAAUCCAUCUCUUAACAUCUUUAAUUGCUUUCUUUAGCAUUUUGAAGUUUUCUUAGUGGUCUUUCAUAUGCUUGGUUAGGUAUCUCAGUCUGGCUUCCUGUUAUGGUUAAAUAAAUUCUUGAUAAAAGCAAUUUAUGGGAGGAGGGAUUCAUUCUGCCUCACAGUACUUCCGAUCAGGGAAGUCUUCAUCAGGAGCUUGAAGCACCUAGUCCCAUGAUACUCACAAGAAGCAAAUGCUGGCUGCCACUCAGCCCCUUCUCUCCAGACUCCUAACCAGGAUAUGAUGUCACCCACAGGGAGCAGACGUUCUUCCCUUGAUGAAUGCACACACACAACCCCUCACCGUGAUGCCCGAGGUCUCAUCUCUAUAUCUGUCAGGUUGAUGCUUAACAUGAAAAGCCAUCACGAUCAUAGGGUUUUCGGUUUGCUUUGGUUUGUUUGCUAUGGCAAAUAAGAUAUAUUUAUAGCAAAUUUUCUUACUUAUAUGUGGAACGGUUACAGACCUCUAUAUGUUGGUUUUGGAUUCCACUUUCUUAAAGUGUUUAUCAGAUCUGUUUUCUAGUAGAAUCUUUUAAGUGGAGCAUCAUGCCAGCUAUCAGUUGUGGUAUUUGACUUCUUCUUUACUUGUGUGCAUCCCUUUUAUAUAUUUCUCAUGACUUGUUGCCAUACUAAGACUUCAAAUACUAUAAUAAAUAAAAGUGGAGAAAGCGAACACUCUUAUCUCAUUCUAAAUUUGAGAAAGUGCUUCAGUUUUUCUCCAAUUAGUAUAAUACUGUCUAUAGAUUUGUUUUAUAUGCCCUUUAUUGAUCUGAAAUAUAUGCCUUAUAUUACUAGUUUCUUAUGACUAAUUAUCAUGCAAUAACAUUGGGCUUUCUGUAUCUGUUGUGAUGAACAUACAUAUGGUUUCUGUUCCUAAGCUAUGCUUUUAUAUUAUGUUUAUUUAUUUGUAUACAUUGAACCGAUCUUACAUCCCUAGAAUAUAACCAAAUCCCUCUUAAUAUGUGAACUGUCUGACCUUUCCUUGCCCUUGGCAUCUACGUUUAUAGGGGAAAUUAGUGUACUUUCAUUUACCUGCCUGUCCCCAUCCAGUUUUAGUAUCAGAGUAGAUCAUAGAGGUAUUCUCUUCCUGGCUACAUUUCUGCUUUUCUUUUCACCCACUCAGGCAUUGGCAGAGGUGGCAUCUUCUUAAAGUUUAGUUUGGACCACCUUGGAGAAUCCUACCUCCAUGCUCCUAAGACACACUUCUGCCAUGGAGUAUCCAAUGAAGUACUUUUCUGUCAAUGUCUCCACCCGUGGGAUAGCCAUACUUGCAUGAUAGCCAUUUACGCCAGUCUUCUCUGGCCCCUUUUCCUACAGUGUUCAUGUCAAUAGGGAACAACAUCUCCUUAACAUUUGCUCUUGACCCUAGCUCAGUGGAAUAACCAUGAUUGCCCUUGUGUAACAAGUGACAGUUGCUUCUGGUUGCUUACCAGAGAAAUGUAUAGAUUCACUUAGAUACAUUUACCUAUCUGUCUGCCUGUCUAUCUAUGCAUUCAUUCCCCAUAGGAAUAGAGUACCAUUUUAAUUCCAUCUCUCCUCUUCUACCAGGCCACACAGAGACAACUUCUGAUCUGCCAUUUUACAUGCACCAAGGAGAAGUAGGCAUUGUGUGUGUGUGUGUGUGUGUGUGUGUGUGUGUGUGUGUGUGUGUGCUGGCCAUUCUCUGUUCAUUCUCCAUAAGGUUCCUCCUCCACCCUUCUCUGCCUUGCUUUUCACCUUGAGUAGGCAGACUUCUGGAGUAUCAGCCAACCUCCUGUUUGAGGACAGUUUCCACUUAGGUUUGAGCAGUGAUCAAGACCAGAAGAACAUGGGAUAGGAAGAGACUGGGUAGUCUGGAUACACAUCUCUUUCUUCUUAAUCAUCUUUCUCUAUGAUUUUAACAUAAGGUAUUACCUAUGCUUACCUAGAAAGAAUUGUCAUUUCCUAAGUUUCCAGCUUUCUCCCAUGUCUGGUAAUGGUUUCCUGAUGAUUCACCAUUUCUCGUAAGACUUGUUUGAUUAGACUUAAGUAUUUUUCUCCAGAGGAACAGACCACUAGAAUAUUUAAUUAUAAAGAGUUAUAUUAGAAAUGAUUUGAACAAUCAGAGGCUAGCUACCCAGCCUGUCUGCCUGGGAGGUCUGGAGAAUAAGGGAAAACAGUAAUUGCUCAGUCCAAGGAAUAUUCCUAACAAGAUGGACCAAAUGAUACAGAUCCAAUCUAAGGGAUCUUAUGUGUGCAGUGAAAAUUCUAGAAUGUUGGUUUCUUUAAAAACUCAGAAAUAUUAUAAGAAUAUGUUUUCAUUUUAAUCCCUAGUGUGAUGAUAUGGGACUGCUUCACUGCAACUGACUGUGAUAUGCCUCAUGCUUUAACAGAGGCGUGGCAUUUCCAGCUGCAGAUAGUUUCUCCGACUGUAUGAUGUUUGGAAUUCUGGGAACUUUUCAGAGGGUAUAUAAAUGUUAGGUCACUAUAGGCAGGGUUGAUGGUGGCUGGUCAUUCAGGGAGAUUGGUUACAGUAGUCACACUCAAAGAAGAAACAAAAGAAAUAAAUUAGUGUUCUGGAUUUGGUUUAACACUUGUAUUAUGCUAAUUGAGUUUCCAAAAUGGCACAAGAAACCACCUGUAAGACACUGAGGGUUCCUGUCCCCAGUUGGUUCUGAUUAGUAAAUAAAGUUGCUGGUGCCCAAUGACUGGACAAGGAGACAGAGGUGGGACUUUAGGAUUUCCAGGCAAGGGGACUAAGAGAAGAAGGAGGAUUUACAUUCCUGAUGCCAGGAAAGGAAUAAGAUUCAGGCUUGAGAACUGUAGAAGACAGAGUAGCAAUCAUGUAAGGAACACCCCCCCCCUCCACGCACAAAUUGGGUCUAGGGUAGCAAGGCUGGAAUAUAGAUUUUAGAAAGUAAUAACUCAGGAGUAUCAGAUGAGAGGUGUUAGCAACAUGGAAGUUUGGGAGUGGCCCAGCUAUUGAGCUGAUUAAGGCAUAUUAAAUAUAAGGCUCUGUGUGUGUGUGUGUGUGUGUGUGUGUGUGUGUGUGUGUGUGUCUUUCAGGAUUCCAGAACAUUGGGGCAGGUAGCGAGGAACUCACACUGCCAUCGGGAAGAUUAGAACAGAUUAAUUAUCUACUGCUACAAAUUAUAUUCAGGGAUCUUUGUGUCUGUCUGUCUGUCUCCCUCUGUUCCUCCCUCCCCUCAUACUUAUUUCUCUCAUAUCUACUCACAGGGAGUAAAGCAAGUGGAGAUAUAAAGGGUGGGAAAAAGUAGAGCCCAUAGAGUAGCAAAGGUCAGCUAUGCAUGUCCUCAAGGAAGGGCAACAUUAAGAACAAGCCAAGUCAAAACAAAACCAAAUGUCCCCAAGAGCAGACAGUGAACCAGCAGAAGUUUGCUUUUCUUUCCUUUUUUUUAAAAAAGAUUUUUAUUUAUUUACUAUACACACAGACACAGACACACACACACACACACACACACACACACACACACACACACAUAUGAGUAUACUGUAGCUGUCUUCACACACACUGAAUCAGAUCUCGUUACAGAUGGUUGUGAACCACCAUGUGGUUGCUGGGAAUUGAACUCAGGACCUCUGGAAGAGCAGUCAGUGCUCUUAACCACUGAGCCAUCUCUCCAACCCAGAAGUUUGCUUUUCCUCAGUCUAUCCUUCCACCUGCAUGGGUGAAUCCUCCUCACUUGUGUCUCCCACAUACCAGUCUUCUCUAGAAACCACCUUCCAACACAAACCCCAAAAAUGUGCUUCACUAUUUCUCUAGACAUCAUUCCACCCAGUCAACCCAGCAGAAUCAACUGUAAAACUGCACCAUUGCCUCUGUUGCAGGCAGAAAGCCGGAUUGACAGAGAGGCAAAUCAGAGCCUGGCCAGUUCAGCACAAUCAGCACUUGUUUUUUAAUGUAAGCUACCCAAGGCCACACAGGCAACGUGGUAGAAUCAGAUUUCAAAUUAAAAAUAAAUUCAAGGAUUAAGAGGAAUCAAAAGGUCUUUUGUAUAGCAGAAAUACAAGAAAAAGAGGAGCUGAGAAAGGAAGGAGGGAAGGUCAACGUUACUCAAGGUCACAAACAAUCAGGGUGAGAAACACUAAGGAGGAUCCCUCAAGUUCUUAAGUGUGAGAGUAAAAGGGAGCAUGAUGGAAUGAGUCUUAAUCACUUUCAUAAUCUUUACAGACUGGAAGGAAGGAGAGCUAGACGUUAAUACAGGAUUGAGAAUGUAAGGAUAUUAUUAAAAGACUCCAAUGUGUUUAUAAUUUUAGGUUAAGAGAGGAAGUAAGGGAUGAGUCACGCUCAGCCGGAGACUAGAGAAGGGGGGAUUAGGAUUUGAGGGGAAGAUUAGCUACAGGAGACAAGGCAUUCCCUAAAGGAGAGAUAUUUCUACUAUUUUUCUAUGCUUAUAUCUAACACCAAGGGAUCUGCCAUUUGAAGUUUUAUUUGCCUAUGGUUGGGAGAAUGCAGAUAGUUUUUGUCUCUCCUUUGGUAGCCUGGGGCAGCAUUUUCAUGAAUUUUCAUGAACAUUAAGGGAAGAUGAUUCAUCCUCCCAGCGUUUUUUACAUGUCAGCCACACAGCAGGGCAAAGGUUUCAAGUUCCUUGUAAUGUAGAUAGAAGAACCUUGUCAAUUAAUCCUGUUUGAAAUGCCAAAGCGAGGGUGCUAUUAAAAACAACGCAAUGGCAAAUCAGUCUCCAAACUCCAAAGUUUCUACAGUGUAACUAUGGUUUUCUAUGUGCUCCACUUUCUAUAUAGGACCAUAAGGGUAGGUAAAUCCAUAAUUCUGAUACGUGGAUAUUGAAACUGUUCAGAUCUGUUUACUGAUGUUUGCUUACUCAGCAAAUCAUCUCUCAAACAGGAUCACGUGUAGCUUUGCAUUGGCACAAUGAUCUGAGGUGUAUUUGCCUUCCUUCGCUGCCCUUUAAAAUAUUUGGUUUGGGGAGAUUUUAGGAUGCUAGACUCAAAUUAGGACUAAGUUUAUUUUAUUAAAAUGUUCCAGAA